UUUUGAGUGCACGAAAAAUAAUGAAGAAAAAGGCAAGAGAACUGAAAAGUCGAAAAAAAACAAGCGAGCAUUGACAGGUAGCCGUGAUGGAAAGGCAAAGGCUUCAGUUUUGACGAUUAUAUUUAUAAAAUUGCACUACAGAGUUACUUGAUUUACUUGCAAUAUUUCAUUUCACUUUGUUGACAUUUUGACAUCCCUUGAACAUGACCAUCCCGUAUAGAAUUUGUUCAGCUUAAAAUCACACAGGCCGGAUGGAAAUUAAGUGUGAUGAUUUCCGACCUCUCGCUUCAACAACAAGUUUCACUAGACUGCCAAGGGAAGCAGGUAAACAAAGGGUUGAUUAUCGCUUUUGCUCUCCCUUCCUCACCCGGUCACAGGUGUAUGUACAGAGGACGAGCAACGGAAGUUAAACUCUGUGGUCAUGGUCCUUCGCGUAUUAAGGGAGAGGCGGGAAAACAAAUAAAGGCUUUCAAUACAUUUUGUUUAUCAAAUUGCAGGCUAAUUUCCUACAAUUUUCUGAAUAUUUACUGACAGUAAUAGGUUCCUGAAUAAGUAAUGAGAUUGCAGGGUAUAUAACUGCUGACUACAAGAACAGCUCCAGCAUCCCAAAGCGUUGGAUAUCUCAGGUUGUCUAGCUUUUACUGCUUUCAACUCUCCAAAAUCUCCAGGAUGAAGGUGACCAUCGUUGUCCUACUAGCCCUCCUAGCUGUGGCCGCCACUGCUGAUGUCGACAGGCGAUUUCUUCUUAAGAUUCCGAGCAUUGGUGACGUUGUGAACCAGCUGAAGGGGAAGAAAUCCAACUACAACUGGAAGGAGAGUGACUGUAGGAGUGACUGCCGGUCAACCUUUGCCUGGACCCUCCUACUUGAUGAACUGUGUCCAGCAGCCUGCGCCAUCAUUUUCACGAGAGUGAACGUCUGAGUGAAGAACAAAUCUUUACGAUCCAGGAUUUGAACUAAGAUUUUCUUCCUGACGCUCAGUGGACUGGCUAUGUACGAUCUGAAAUAAAUCUUUGCAAAAGAAA